rnacentral:lncRNA from 1 species
UUAUUGGAUAAAGUUCUGUACUGAUAGUACAAAACUUUGUGGUCGCCCAGGCUAUUCAGCCUUUAAUCAUAUUUAACAUCGUCAGGUAAGUAACGAUGUCAUGAUCAGAAGUCAUUGGCUAUGUGCUAUAUAUAUGCGCAUAAUUUCAUAAACUACAUUGUGCAUGCGAUUGUUUUCAGGAACAAUAGAUUUUCUUAAUUUUUUAACUCAAUGUGAAAAUGAACAUUGAUGUUUUUUGUCCCUCGAAGGAGACGAGGUUUAAUAUUUGCUUACAUGACCAGGAACAUUAGGAGAUGUUCAAAUGAGUAGUGAAAGAAGAAGAGUUAUUUGCAAAGAUGGUAGCUUUCUUUUCUGUACAAAGAUGAUGGCUAUACCCACAAUAUUGCUCUUGUUACCUUCUUUUGAUGUAGACCUUAGCUCAUUUUCUUAGCAACAAAAAUUCUGAAUUUAUUGCGCGCACAUGCUUAUUUGGCCAAUCAGGAUAAUAAUAAUUUUGCGGUUUUGUACAAGUUUUACCAGUUUAUUGUUUUCAAAAUUAGAAUCUUGCUGAUUAACCUAUCUGCAUUUUGUAGUAAAGUAGCUACCUACACGAGGUAGGUCCAUUAACUCUUUUGUAGAACCAGAUUGUUGAUAUUUCCUCAGAAGUAAAAAUGUUACCUUUUCCUUUACUCGCUUACUUGAAACCAGACUAUUAGGUACCCACCUUCCAAGAUAUAUAAACAACCAAAAGUAUCACGUCAGGCUAUUCUUUGGUUGUUGAUCAAACAACCAACACUCUGGUGUAUAGGGUCUCUGGAUAAACAAGCUCGAGGAGGCCGUUGUUUGGUGCAGCCCACGACAACAACUACACCAUUGACCACUGAAGCAAGGUCCUUAUAUGGUCACUGAAGAAAUCAUCUUUCCUCCGAACGAAGGGCACUUUUCUUGAAUCUUAGUUGGUGUCUGUUGUAAUUUACCAUCAUCCCUAAGACAAACUUGAUUCUGUGUUGCCGUUCUUUAUCUCUAUUGUUUAAUCCAAAUUACUACUGUGACAUGAUAACAUAUAUGAUGCAAUGGACAAUAUUCCUAAGAACUGCACGGACACAGUGCUUUAUCAUAUCUUGAGCACAUUUGAUUUAUUGUGUUGCCCAUGUGUACAACUACUUGGAUCAUCUAAUUGCAGACUCAACUAUUGUAAGCUACUAAUGAUCUAAUAUGUUACAUUCUUACAUUAUUAAGCAAAUAUUUGCAUUUAGCUCUUGGUUUGAAUUGGACUUUGCGCCAUUUGGUGCAACGGGAUACAGAAUAUUUGCUAAAUUGGAACUCAUCUUCUCU